rnacentral:rRNA from 1 species
UACGUAGGGUGCAAGCGUUAAUCGGAAUUAUUGGGCGUAAAGAGCUCGUAGGCGGUUUGUCGCGUCUGCUGUGAAACCCGAGGCUCAACCUCGGGCCUGCAGUGGGUACGGGCAGACUAGAGUCCGGAAGAGGUGAGUGGAAUUCCUGGUGUAGCGGUGAAAUGCGCAGAUAUCAGGAGGAACACCGAGUGGCGAAGGCAGCUCACUGGGACGGUACUGACGCUGGAGGCGCGAAAGCCGUGGGGAGCAAA